AGUGAACGCUGGCGGUAGGCCUAACACAUGCAAGUCGAACGGCAGCACAGUAAGAGCUUGCUCUUACGGGUGGCGAGUGGCGGACGGGUGAGGAAUACAUCGGAAUCUCCUUUUUCGUGGGGGAUAACGUAGGGAAACUUACGCUAAUACCGCAUACGACCUACGGGUGAAAGCAGGGGAUCUUCGGACCUUGCGCGAUUGAAUGAGCCGAUGUCGGCUUAGCUAGUUGGCGGGGUAAAGGCCCACCAAGGCGACGAUCCGUAGCUGGUCUGAGAGGAUGAUCAGCCACACUGGAACUGAGACACGGUCCAGACUCCUACGGGAGGCAGCAGUGGGGAAUAUUGGACAAUGGGCGCAAGCCUGAUCCAGCCAUACCGCGUGGGUGAAGAAGGCCUUCGGGUUGUAAAGCCCUUUUGUUGGGAAAGAAAAGCAGCAGGUUAAUACCCCGCUGUUCUGACGGUACCCAAAGAAUAAGCACCGGCUAACUUCGUG
rnacentral:rRNA from 1 species